rnacentral:rRNA from 1 species
AAAUAAAUAAACAAGGUAGUAUUARAUUAAAAACCUAUAUAAAAUGGCGGUCAUAACAAAUUAGAGGAACUCGCUUUAUAAUCGUCAAUACCCGCUAAUUUUCACUUAAAUUCCAUAAUUUAUAUACCGCCGUUACAGAAUAUAUCCAAUAGUAUAUAUCAUUAAAUAUUAAAAUAAAAAA